rnacentral:rRNA from 1 species
AUAUACGACCGUACCGCAAACCGACACUGGUGCGCGAGAUGAGUAUUCUAAGGCGCUUGAGAGAACUCAGGAGAAGGAACUCGGCAAAUUGACACCGUAACUUCGGAAGAAGGUGUGCCUUAUUAGUGUGAAGUGAACAACGGAGCAUGAAUGGGUUGCAAAAAAUCGGUGGCUGCGACUGUUUAUUAAAAACACAGCACUCUGCAAACACGAGAGUGGACGUAUAGGGUGUGACGCCUGCCCGGUGCUGGAAGAUUAAAUGAUGGGGUGCAAGCUCUUGAUUGAAGUCCCAGUAAACGGCGGCCGUAACUAUAACGGUCCUAAGGUAGCGAAAUUCCUUGUCGGGUAAGUUCCGACCUGCACGAAUGGCGUAACGAUGGCCACACUGUCUCCUCCUGAGACUCAGCGAAGUUGAAAUGUUUGUGAUGAUGCAAUCUCCCCGCGGAAAGACGGAAAGACCCCAUGAACCUUUACUGUAGCUUUGUAUUGGACUUUGAACAGAUCUGUGUAGGAUAGGUGGGAGGCUUUGAAGCAGGGUCGCUAGAUCUUGUGGAGCCAACGUUGAAAUACCACCCUGGUGUGUUUGAGGUUCUAACCUAGGUCCAUUAUCUGGAUCGGGGACAGUGCAUGGUAGGCAGUUUGACUGGGGCGGUCUCCUCCCAAAGCGUAACGGAGGAGUUCGAAGGUACGCUAGUUACGGUCGGACAUCGUGACGAUAGUGCAAUGGCAUAAGCGUGCUUAACUGCGAGACUGACAAGUAGAGCAGAUGCGAAAGCAGGACAUAGUGAUCCGGUGGUUCUGUAUGGAAGGGCCAUCGCUCAACGGAUAAAAGGUACUCUGGGGAUAACAGGCUGAUACCGCCCAAGAGUUCAUAUCGACGGCGGUGUUUGGCACCUCGAUGUCGGCUCAUCUCAUCCUGGGGCUGUAGCCGGUCCCAAGGGUAUGGCUGUUCGCCAUUUAAAGAGGUACGUGAGCUGGGUUUAAAACGUCGUGAGACAGUUUGGUCCCUAUCUUCCGUGGGCGCUGCAGAUUUGAGGAAGCCUGCUCCUAGUACGAGAGGACCGGAGUGGACACACCUCUGGUGUAUCGGUUGUCACGCCAGUGGCAUUGCCGAGUAGCUAAGUGUGGAAGAGAUAACCGCUGAAAGCAUCUAAGCGGGAAACUCGUUUCAAGAUGAGAUCUGCCGGGGCCUUGAGCCCCCUGAAGAGUCGUUCAAGACCAGGACGUUGAUAGGUCAGGUGUGGAAGUG